rnacentral:rRNA from 1 species
GAUGAACGCUGGCGGCGUGCCUAAUACAUGCAAGUCGAGCGAACAGAUGAUGAGCUUGCUCCUCUGACGUUAGCGGCGGACGGGUGAGUAACACGUGGAUAACCUACCUAGAAGACUGGGAUAACUUCGAGAAACCGGAACUAAUACCGGAUAAUAUAUUGAACCGCAUGGUUCAAUAGUGAAAGACGGUUUUGCUGUCACUUAUAGAUGUAUCCUCGCCUCAUUAGCUAGUUGGUAAGGUAACGGCUUACCAAGGCAACGAUGCGUAGCCGACCUGAGAGGGUGAUCGGCCACACUGGAACUGAGACACGGUCCAGACUCCUACGGGAGGCAGCAGUAGGGAAUCUUCCGCAAUGGGCGAAAGCCUGACGGAGCAACGCCGCGUGAGUGAUGAAGGUCUUCGGAUCGUAAAACUCUGUUAUUAGGGAAGAACAAAUGUGUAAGUAACUAUGCACGUCUUGACGGUACCUAAUCAGAAAGCCACGGCUAACUACGUG